AAUGAAGACAUUAGUGCUUUCAGAGGUAUCAUGGACAUAUACACAAGUGGACACUCACACAAAUUCCUAUCUCAUGGAAAUGAUGGUGAAGAAAGAAGAGAUAAUGUGCAUGAUUAUCUGUUGUGGAAACACCUAACUAUCUGACUCAUUGUAUGAGUGAAGUGACCACAGACUCUGAACUAUGUGAACCCUUUAGAAUC